CUCUCGUCUCUGCACGCACCUCCCUCCUCCACCUGGGAGCCAAGCCCCACACCCAGGCGAGGCAGAGGAAGGGGCACGACACCCAGACAAGAUGGCUGUGCCUCCCACCCCGGACCCUCUCGGGGAGAGCAGCAGGCCUGCGAGUCACCGUCAAAGUGCUGGUCCGAAUACCCUCGGUGGUGCUGGGCUGGGGCGAGAAGUGCUGGGGAUCGAACUCAGGACCUUAAGCUGGCGAGGCAGGCGUGGUCCCACUGAGCUACAUGCCUGGCCUGGAACUGAUUUCUCGACUUUCCCUCCCGACCAGGCUCCACCCAGCCCGUGACACCUGGUGUGGAAGGCCAGCCUGGAGCAGCUCUUGGGUCGAGGGCCACGUCCGGGUUGGGGUCCUCCGAACAGGGAUGCUCCGCUCUCCAGGGCAUCUGGCCUCCUUUCUCCUCAACUGCAGGCCCUGCCUUGGUUUCCCUCUGGCCUGAAGUGCACAGAACACCGGGGUGCCUGAUG
rnacentral:lncRNA from 1 species